rnacentral:rRNA from 1 species
UACGGAGGGUGCAAGCGUUAUCCGGAUUCACUGGGUUAAAGGGUGCGUAGGCGGACAGGUAAGUCAGUGGUGAAAUCUCUGGGCUUAACCCAGAAACUGCCGUUGAUACUAUUGUCUUGAAUAUCCUGGAGGUAGGCGGAAUAUGUCAUGUAGCGGUGAAAUGCUUAGAUAUGACAUAGAACACCGAUAGCGAAGGCAGCUUACUACAGGAUGAUUGACGCUGAGGCACGAAAGCGUGGGGAGCGAACAGGA